rnacentral:sRNA from 1 species
AUCCAAGUGCGCGCCCUGGCGGGUCCGGACCAAGGUAAAUGUGCAGUUUCGGGGCGGCGCAUGACGCGACUGGGACUAGGCCGGAGGCAGCGGGGGGCCGGCAGGUGGGCCGCUCAGUGCGUUGAAGGAUUCGAUCCCCAGUCCCUCCCUCCCAGUUCUAGGCGCCCCAAACCGCUCCAGGCCCGAGAGGCUGUAGGUUCCAUGAGGACAGGCCUUGAGUCUGUCCUGGUCUCUGGAAUCAUGGUGUCUAGUAGAGGCCAGCACACAGCAAAUAUAUAAAUGUACAAAUGAGUGAAUGAAGAGAAUCUGAUUGGCCUUAAGGAACUUACGCACUUAAAAUAAUUGGGCAGAAGAGAAGCAGUGAAGGAGUGCAGAGGCAUCACCUGAAAGGGAUCACUGAGAUUCUGAUGAACAGACCUUCUGCCCGCAAUGCCUUGGGGAAUGUCUUCGUCAGUGAGGUAAGAAAGGGCGGGCGCCAGGGUGGGCUGGGGAUGGGCUGGCACUAUCUAACUGGGUGUCCUCUGUAGCUGCUGGAAACUCUGGCCCAGCUGCGGGAGGACCGGCAAGUGCGUGUCCUGCUCUUCAGAAGUGGAGUGAAGGGCGUGUUCUGUGCAGGU